UGUGGCAUUUGGAAGUUCCCAGGCUAGGGGUUGAAUUGGAGCUACAGCUAUUGACCUACACCACAGCCACAGCCCCACAGGAUCUGAGCUGUGCCUGCAGCCUCACCACAGCUCUUGGCAAUGCCAGAUCCUUAACCACUGAGCAAGGCCAGGGAUCGAACCCUCAUCCUCAUGGAUCCUAGUCGGGUUCAUUAACUGCUGAGCCACGAAGGGAACUCUUCUUUUACUUUUUAAUAAUAUGCCUUUUAUUUAUUUAUCAAUCUGUUUAUCUAUAGAUCUAUUUAUUUAUCUAUUGAUUGAUUGAUUUGUUGCACCCACAUUUCCAUCACGAGCUUCACUCUAUGUCUUGGCUUCCAAUUAUUAAACCUGUGCUAACCAUGGGCAUGGGAAGUGCAGAGGAAGUGUAUUGGUCAGUUUGCUUGAUAGAGCAGCUCUGGGUGCAGAAUCUCAUUCUGGGAAUUGCCAUCUUGUGAUUAGGCAAUCCAACUCAGUUAUUACGGUAUUUCUCGCCACAAUGACCUCAAACAGGAACAAGCAGAAAGCUUUGCCUAGAUCAAUUAAGAAAAAGGUUUAAUAUUCUGUAAUAGAUAAUGAAGAAAAUUGGAUGAAGAAAAAGAUGAUUUUAGCUUCAAAUUCUCUACAGCUGGCUUCUGUAUUUGGUUCCAUGUCUAUUUUGGGGGGCAGAGGGGGAGGGGUCAUGGCCUGUGCACAUAGAUCAGAAGAAGAAUUUCCAGGUGCAAAGCAAGACAACUUUAUUGAGACAAGAGAUGCUGUUAACACAGAGGGCUGACUUCUUGAUAAUCAGGGAUAGCUGACCCAGGGAUUUGUCAUAUCUGUUUUUGUAGCCUAGAGACAAAGGGGAAAGAUGGGGUCUUCCAAUACACUUGCUGGUUGGUUGGAGACCUAUAUUUCCCCUAUAGGGGUGCAGUGAGUAGUGGGCCACAUACUUUUCUUAGUAGAGGUAGGAAGGAGUGGGCCAAGUGGCUGAAAAGUGGGGUGUGUGGCAUUAUAGUGAGACAGCAGCAUGAUGAUAAGGGUCUGAUAAUUCUUGUCUUGGCCAGAGGCUUUGAGUUGUGUCUCCUUGAAGAGGUCUUGAAGUCCCACAGGGGUGUGUGCAUCCUUCCCAAAACCUGAUCAGGACUUUGCAUAAGCCCUCAUUGCCCAGGGUCAAACAAGUGCUGUCUUCUUUAAUCAGACUUUCAGAACUCUCAAAACUUACUCUCACUGGGAGGUCGUGGUUAACAGCACUGAAGAACCAGGGUGCGAAUGUUCUGGGUUAAUGAUACAGAAUGACCUGAAAGUGAGUUCUUAACUAGGCAGGGUAUACUUUAAGGGAGAUAUGAAUUUUGUUCUGAAGGCUGAUAGUUACAUUUCUGGGAACCUGUAGGCAUCCAUUUCUGCCUUUCUGAAUCAGAGAUAUAAGUAAUUACUGGGACACAGCAGACACAGGAGUCAAUUUAAAGUAAUAGAAACUCAGGGGGACUUUAUCCCAGAAAAUAGUUCACCUGUGUGAAUGAAGUGGCAUGCACAAGGUGGCACAUUGUGGCAUCCUUUGUAAUAAGGAUUAGUUGUUCACAGUCUACAUGUUCACCAGUGGUGGAAGAAUGAAACAAAUGACCACUCCAUCCAUAUUACAGAGCUUGUGUAGCCAUUAUAAGAACAAAGGAGGGAGUUUCCUGUGGCCUAGUGGUUAAGGGCUUUGUGUUGUCACUGCAGUGGCACAGAUUCAAUCUCUGCCCAAAGAACUUAUACAUGCCAGGGAGCAGCCAAAAAAAGAAAAAAGAAAAAACAAAAACAAAGAGCUAUUUGCUAUUUAUAUCCUCACAUUGUAAGACUUCUUUGAUAUCUUACUAAAUGAAAACAAAUUAAGUCAUCAAAAAAUAUGCAGAAUUGGGUAUCAUUUAUGUUUUUUAAAACCUUACAUAUAAAUAUGUCCAUAUAUGUAUAUCAAUGACCUGAGAAUGUUCUAAAAAGAUAACAAAUCAUUAGUUGCUUUUUUCUCCCCUAAUUGAGAGGCUAAGAUUUGGGAGUGUGUGAAAAGGAAGAUUUUGUUGUUUUCCAAAUUGGAUUCUAUAUAGUUUUAAACUUUUUAUUUUGAGAACAUAUUCAUGUAUUCCUAUUGAGAAAGAUCUACUUGUGUGUGUAUGUGUAUAUACAUGUAUCUUUAUUUAUAUAUAUUUUAGUCAGAAGAGAUAUUCUGAAAGAACAUUUCAUGGGAUUAUGAGAAAGGGAUUUAUUUUUUCCAGAUAACUAAGCUGAGGUAACCCAAGGUAAUAUAAAAGAGGAAUAGCAUCUCGCCUUUUCUCUGGUGGAGUCACAGUUUACACACAUGGUAAUGUUGAAUUUUUGAUACAAAUCAAAGCUGUUAAGAUACAAAUCACCAGCCACUUCUAAGGAGGCAUGAAGCAGCAUAAGUUAUUUGCAAAGACCUCCCUUGCUCAGGAGUUUAAUUUUAUGGCAAACAAGUGGAGCUGAUCCCAAACAUUCUGCCCUGGGUUUGGGGGUAACUCUAUGAGUGAGCUGUUGUCCUAAUUCUAGGGUAUAAACACUUGUGGGAAAGAUAGACAUUAAACACCUGUCAUUUACUCAUGAGUCCCCACUCCAGUAGAAACCUGGGUGAAGAAUUUUUAAGGCAGAUAAGAAAUAUGUUUUCAUGAAGGAGCGUAUGAACAGAUCCUGGGGUCUAGGAUGGAUACAGGGGAGAUGACUGAGGGCCCAGGAGCAUGAGGAUGGUCAAAAGACUAUAGGUUUUGAUGCUGAUGUCAGUUCAUUUCUGGACAUCCACAGUGAUAAUAAUGAAUUAAAAUAAUAAUAUUGGAUGUGAAAAAUAUCAGGGACCUACAAAAAUGGUAAUUUUAUAUGGAUAAUUUUAAUAGCUGACAAUUCUUUUUAAAAUUCCAAUAUAGUUGAUUUAUAAUGUUGUGUUAGUUUCUGGUAUACAGCAAUGUGGCUUAGUUAUACAUAUACAUAUGUAUGUAUAUAUAUGUGUGUGUAUAUGCAUAUGGGUGUAUAUAUUAUAUACAUGUGUGUGUCUAUAUAUAUACAUAGACACAUACAUAGAUUCUUUUUCAGAUUCUUUUCCAUUAUAGGUUAUUGUUAAAUACUGAGUAGAGUCCCUUGUGCUAUACAGUAAGACCUUGUAAUAGCUGACAUUUCGUGAACUCUUACUAUGUGCUUUGUCCUUUGCUAAGUACAUCACAUGAGCUACCUCACUGAAUCCUUAAAGCAACCUUUUGAUAUAAGCAGCCUUGUCAUCCUACCUGUGGUGUAGUAGUGUGAUUUCUAUUUUAUACAUGAGCAAAGUUGAGACUCAACUUAUAUGAUAUUAUAACACCAGAUCUGAAUAGCUCUCAAGCCCCUGAUUUUACUUCAGCCAAUACUUCCCUCAGAACUAACAACCAUGAGGUUUUGUCUUAAAGGGAGUAACUGGGAGUUAAAGUUUCCAGAGGUCAAGCACUUUCGGAAGAUAAGAAUCAUAACACAUGGCUAUCCAAAUGGACUGUUAAAAUGAUGGCAGGAUGAGAAUCACAGCAUAAGGACGUCCAGGAAAUCCACGUGAAGUUUGUCUCCAUUCUUGGUUAUGGCCACAAACAGGGAGGAAAGGAGAACAGUGAACAGGGGCUGGGACUCCCAAACUGGCGGCAUUUUUGAAGCUUGAGUUGGAGACAAUAGUAAGUGGGUGGGAAAACGGGAUGGUGUGGAAUGAAAGGGAAGUGGUGGAGGACUUUUAACAAAUCUCUGAAGUCAUCGCUUCACCUGAAGCAAAAUAUCCUUGGUGUUCACAAAGUUAAUACCUAUAACAAAAAAUUGGAAACCACUUAAAUGGUUAAUAAAUAGGGAUGAGUAAAAUACAAGAUGGUUCAUACGAUCAAUGAGAUGCUGUGUAGUCUUCAAAAAUGGUACUAUGGAAGAAUAAUUACAAUGUUUCCCAUCUCCAACUUUUUCUAUGUGCUGUAUUCUAGGUGAAUUCAUUAUUACAAUUUUUAAUGAGUUCAUUAAUUUUCUCUUUAUCUUGUUAGACUAUCUUGGUUUUGGCAUUUUAUUUCAGACCAUGAUUUUUUUUUUCUAGAUUUAUAAUAGAUUCUUUUUUAUACCCACUUGUUUGUAUCUUUUACUUGCCUAUUGUUAUAUCACAAUUUCUCAUUCUUUUUAUAAAUACUCUUCCAUUUUUACAUUUUGAUUUUUAUGUAUUCUUUUUUUUUAGCUUUAUUGAGAUAUACUGACAAACAUAAACUGAUAUAUUUUAAGGUAUACAAUGUGAUGUUUUGAUAUAUAAUGUACAUUGUAAAAUGAAUAUCAUAAUCAACUAAUAUACAUAUACAUUGCCUCAUAUAGUUAUGAUUUGUGUGUGUGUGUUUGGUGAGACACUCAAGAUCAACUCUCUUAGCAAAUUUCAAGUACACAAUAUAGUAUGGUUAAUUAUAGUCACCAAGCUGUGCAUUAGGUCUCCAGAACUUAUUUAUCCUAUAACUGGACCAUUGUACCCUUUGCCCAGUAUGUCCCUGUUUCUGUCACCCCCCAGUCCUUGGAUACCACUAUUCUAAUCUCUACUUUUAUGAGUUUGAAUUUUAUAAUUUUAAAAUUUUUAUAUUUAUUUACUUUAUUUGUUUUUGGCUGCUCCUGUGGCAUGUGGAAGUUCCUGGGCCUGGAAUUGAACCAAUGCCACAGAAUUGACAAUGCCACGUCCUUAAACACUAGUCCACCAGGGAACUUCGAGUUUGAUAUUUUUAGAUUCUUCACUAUUGUGAAUAAUUCUGCAACAAACAUGGGAAUAUAGACAUCUCUUUGGUAUAGAGAUUUUAUUUCCUUUGGAUAUAUACCUAGACAUUGGAUUGCUGGAUCCUAUGGUAGUUCUAUUUUUAAUUUUUUGAGGAACCUCUAUUAUUUUCCACAGUGACUGUACCAAUUUAUGUUUCCACAUCUUUGCCAACACUUGUUGUUUUGCCUUUUUGAUAAAAAAGCUUUCUCCUAAAAUUAUAACAGUUAUUAUUUUUUUCUUUUAUUGAAGUAUAAUUGCUAUAAAAUAUUAUAUGUUACAGGUAU
rnacentral:lncRNA from 1 species